rnacentral:rRNA from 1 species
AGCAGUCGCCACGGGAAUACAGAGGGUGCGAGCGUUAAUCGGAUUUACUGGGCGUAAAGCGUGCGUAGGCGGCUUUUUAAGUCGGAUGUGAAAUCCCUGAGCUUAACUUAGGAAUUGCAUUCGAUACUGGGAAGCUAGAGUAUGGGAGAGGAUGGUAGAAUUCCAGGUGUAGCGGUGAAAUGCGUAGAGAUCUGGAUGAAUACCGAUGGCGAAGGCAGCCAUCUGGCCUAAUACUGACGCUGAGGUACGAAAGCAUGGGGAGCAAACAGGAUUAGAUACCCCUGUAGUCCCUGUCUCUUAUAC